rnacentral:rRNA from 1 species
GACGAACGCUGGCGGCGUGCUUAACACAUGCAAGUCGAACGGAAAGGCCCCUUCGGGGGUACUCGAGUGGCGAACGGGUGAGUAACACGUGAGUAACCUGCCCUUGACUUCGGGAUAACUUCAGGAAACUGGGGCUAAUACCGGAUAGGAAUCCUUGCUGCAUGGUGGGGGUUGGAAAGCUUCGGCGGUUUUGGAUGGACUCGCGGCUUAUCAGCUUGUUGGUGGGGUAGUGGCUUACCAAGGCUUUGACGGGUAGCCGGCCUGAGAGGGCGACCGGCCACAUUGGGACUGAGAUACGGCCCAGACUCCUACGGGAGGCAGCAGUGGGGAAUAUCGCACAAUGGGCGGAAGCCUGAUGCAGCAACGCCGCGUGCGGGAUGACGGCCUUCGGGUUGUAAACCGCUUUCAGCAGGGGCGAAGCUUGUGGUGACGGUACCUGCAGAAGAAGCACCGGCUAACUACGUG